AAUUAAGUCCGUAGGGGGAUUUCAAAACCUAGUGCCCUAAGACCGUUUGGUUUGGGAGUCACUGAUCCAAAGCUCGUUACAUGAGUAACAUUGUUUGCCUAAGAAAACGGACAAAAUAAAGUCAAUGCAAAAAAAAAAGAAAAAAAAAAGAAAAAGAAAAAAAAAAGAAUAAGAGUUUGUGAAGUUUGGCUAGAUAUUUGUUUCGAUAGAGAUUGGGUCAGUUCAAAAUUGGUUGAAAAAGAGAAAGUGUUUUUAGACAAUUAGGAUCCAUCAAAGGCCUUAAAUUACUUACACUCCUUGGAUUUCUAGUAAAUCUUUGUGUCGAUGCAAGUAGAUUAGAGACAACUGUAUCUUGAUUAUUAGUAGAUGAGUC
rnacentral:lncRNA from 1 species